AGAGUUUGAUCCUGGCUCAGAACGAACGCUGGCGGCGUGCCUAACACAUGCAAGUCGAACGGAGAUACGAUUUCGGUUGUAUCUUAGUGGCGAACGGGUGAGUAACGCGUGAGCAACCUGACUCUUAGAGGGGGAUAACACUCGGAAACGGGUGCUAAUACCGCAUAAGACCACGACAUGGCAUCAUGACGAGGUCAAAGGAGCAAUCCGCUGAGAGAGGGGCUCGCGUCCCAUUAGAUAGAUGGCGGGGUAACGGCCCACCAUGUCCGCGAUGGGUAGCCGAGCUGAGAGGCUGAUCGGCCACACUGGAACUGAGACACGGUCCAGACUCCUACGGGAGGCAGCAGUGGGGAAUUUUGCGCAAUGGGCGAAAGCCUGACGCAGCAACGCCGCGUGGGUGAUGAAGGUCUUCGGAUCGUAAAACCCUGUCGUCAGGGACGAAGGUUGCAUGUCUAAUAGAUGUGUAACUUGACGGUACCUGGAGAGGAAGCCCCGGCUAACUCUGUGCCAGCAGCCGCGGUAAUACAGAGGGGGCAAGCGUUAUUCGGAAUUAUUGGGCGUAAAGGGCGCGUAGGCGGUGUCUUAAGUGAGAUGUGUAAUCCCCGAGCUUAACUUGGGAACUGCAUCUCAGACUGGGGCGCUAGAGUGCUGGAGAGGGUGGUAGAAUUCCACGUGUAGCGGUGAAAUGCGUAGAGAUGUGGAGGAAUACCAGUGGCGAAGGCGGCCACCUGGACAGUAACUGACGCUGAGGCGCGAAAGUGUGGGGAGCAAACAGGAUUAGAUACCCUGGUAGUCC
rnacentral:rRNA from 1 species